UUCCUCCUGGAUACUCAUGACGGGACCCACCUCUCACUACCAUUGGGUAGUAGUCGGGUUUGUAGAGAAGCUAAUCAGCGUCGCCGCGUUCCCGGCUGUAAAGCCCCACGGACCCACAGAGAUUGAGUCUCCCCGGACCCAAAGAAUGCGGGCUCUGUCGCCCCGAGCCCUCCUCCUGCUGCUCUCGGGGACCCUGGCCCUGACCGAGGCCCGGGCGGGCUCCCACUCCCUGAGGUAUUUCUACACCUCCGUGUCACGGCCCGGCCGCGUGGAGCCCCGGCACAUCGCCGUGGGCUACGUGGACGACACGCCGUUCGUGCGGUUCGACAGCGACGCGGCGAGUCCGAGGAUGGAGCCGCGGGCGCCGUGGAUGGAGCAGGAGGGCCCGGAGGAUUGGGACCGGGAGACACAGAUCCAAAAGGGGAACGCGCAGAUAUCCCGAGUGAACCUGCGGACCCUGCUCGGCUACUACAACCAGAGCGAGGUCACGGCCCUUUUCAUCCCCCACGGACGGCCUGGGUGGUCCGAGUCUCCCGGCCCGAGAUUCACCCCGAGUCUGAGGGACCAGCCGAGACCCCCGACUCGGGAAGAGCCUCAGGCGACUUUCACCUGGUUUCACUUUCAGUUUAGACCAAACUCCUCGUGGGCAGGCCAGGGAGGGAGCGGGGUCGAGCGUGCGGGGCUGACAGCGAGGCGGGCUCAGGGUCUCACACCAUCCAGAGGAUGCACGGCUGCGACGUGGGGCCGGACCGGAGCCUCCUCCACGGCUACACACAGCACGCCUACGACGGCGCCGACUACCUCGCCCUGAACGAGGACCUGCGCUCCUGGACCGCGGCGGACACGGCGGCUCAGAUCACCCAGCGCAAGUGGGAGGAGGCCCGGGCUGCAGAGGACCAGAAGGCCUACCUGGAGGGGGAGUGUGUGAAGAUGCUGCUCAGAUACCUGGAGAAUGGGAAGGGGACACUGCAGCGCACGGAUCCCCCAAAGACACAUAUGACCCACAACACCAGCCCUGAUGGGGACGUCACCCUGCGGUGCUGGGCCCUGGGCUUCUACCCUGCAGAGAUCACACUGACCUGGCAGCGGGAUGGGGAAGACCAAACUCAGGACAUGGAGCUUGUGGAGACCAGGCCUUCAGGGGAUGGAACUUUCCAGAAGUGGGCGGCUGUGGUGGUACCUCCUGGAGAGGAGCAGAGAUACACAUGCCUUGUGCAGCAUGAGGGGCUGCCAGAGCCCCACACCCUGAGAUGGGAGCCAUCUUCCCAGACCAUCCCCCUCAUUGUGGGAAUCCUUGUUGGCCUGGUUUUCCUUGGAGCUGUGGUCACUGGAGCUGUGAUAUGGAGGAAGAGCUCAGGUGAAAAUGGAGGGAGCUACUCUCAGGCUGCAACGUGACACAGCUGUCUUGUGUGGGACUGAGUGAUAGAAGAAUGUUCAUGCCUCCCCUUUGUGACUUCAAGAGCCUCUGACUUCUCUUUCUACAAAGGGCGUUUGAAUGUGUCUGUGUUACUGUUAGCAUAAUGUGAAAAUGUAGGGAGAGGAGCCCACCCCCGUAUCCACAUUGACCCCUUUCCUCACCCUGACCUGUGUGCCUUCCCUCUUCAUCUUUCCUUUUCUGAGGAGGGGGAGCGCGGGAGGAAGGGCUCCGAGGUGUCUCUAUCCCUGUCUCUACUUCAUGAUGUGCUAAAACUUCUUACAUUCCUAAUGAAAGUAGGAAUCCAAAUAUAAAUUUGUGUUUCAAAAUCUUGCCAUGAGAGGUUGAUGAGCUAACUAAAGAAGGUUCCUAAAACCUGAGAGAGGAAAUAAAUGGAAGACCUGAGAACCUUCCAGAAUCCACAUGUUUACUGAACUAAGUCUAUUGCAGGUUUGGAAGGGGAAGUCUGUGAGGAGCCCAGUGUGAGAGGGGCCUGUGCCCAAUUGGUGCUCAGUUUAUUAUGCAUUUUGACAUGGACACUCCUCAGUUGUCAUCUUUACUGCUCUGCUGUCCUUGAGCCCUCAGUAAAACCUUGUCCCAGCAGGACUUGUAACCACAGAGACUCAGACCUCACCCAGGGUGACCCCUUUACAAAGGUAUCUCUGUGGUAUCAAAAGACAAAUUUUCAGACCUGUCUAGUUCUUGCCAUCCUUCAAGGGCUCUUUCCUGGGUUAUAUUUUUCAUCUUUUAUUCAGCCUUUUUAUUAUUUUAUUUUGUAUUUCUUUCCAAUUUUGAUGGAUACAUAACAAUUGUAUAUAUUUAUGGGGUACUUGUGAUAUUUGAUAUAAGCAUAUGAUAUGUAAUGAUAAAAUCUGGGUAAUUAGGAUA